UCCGAAUUGGUGUAGUGGCUAACAUUUGACGCUCUCAAGAUUGGCCUAAAAACCAUGAAGGUCCGUCAAGCCCGGGGUUCGAUUCCCCGAUUCGGAG